UACGGAGGGUGCAAGCGUUGCUCGGAAUUAUUGGGCGUAAAGGGUAGGUAGGUGGUCUCAUUUGUCUGGGGUGAAAGCCUUGAGCUUAACUCAAGAAGUGCCCCAGAAACGGUGAGACUAGAGUCCUGGAGAGGGUCGUGGAAUUCCCGGUGUAGCGGUGAAAUGCGUAGAGAUCGGGAGGAACACCAGAGGCGAAGGCGGCGACCUGGACCGAGAUUGACGCUGAACGGCGAAAGCUAGGGGAGCAAACGGG
rnacentral:rRNA from 1 species